AUGAUUACUGAUCCCAGUGCUGACCACCAGCCCCUCACAGAGGCAUCUUAUGUUAACCUGCCCACCAUUGCUCUGUGUAACACAGACUCUCCUCUGUGCUAUGUGGAUAUUGCUAUCCUGUGCAACAAUAAGGGAGCUCACUCAGUGGGUCUGAUGUGGUGGAUGCUGGCUUGGGAAGUUCUGCGCAUGUGUGGCACCAUCUCCCAUGAACACCUGUGGGAGGUUAUGCCUGAUCUCUACUUCUACGGAGAUCCUGAAGAGAUUGAAAAGGAAGAUCAGGCUGCUGCUGAAAAAGCUGUGACCAAAGAAGAAUUUCAGGGUGAAUGGACUGUUCCAGCUCCUGAGUUUACUGCUACUCAGCCUGAGGUUGCAGACUGGUCUGAAGGUGUGCAGGUGCCCUCUGUGCCAAUUCAGCAGUUUUCUACUGAAGACUGGAGCGCUCAGCCUGCCACAGAACACUGGUCUGCAGCUCCCACUGCUCAGGUCACUGAAUGGGUAGGGACAACCACUGAGUGGUCUUAAGCUCUUAAGCAACACAGGCUCUUAAGCAACACGGAAAUAAGGUUGGCGGAAAAUAAACUUGUUUCUAAA